rnacentral:snRNA from 1 species
AUCACUUCUCGGCCUUUUGGCUAAGAUCAAGUGUAGUAUUCUGUUCUUAUCAGUUUAUAAUACAAAGCCUUGUGGAAGGUACACAAGAACGUAGCUAAGAUGGGCAAUAGUGAGCCACUUAGGUUUUUAAAGAAGAGAGACAUGACCAGAU